UUAAGUUCAGCGGGUAUUCCUACCUGAUCCGAGGUCAACCUUGUAAAAAUAGGGUUGAGACAAGAGUGGUUGGCCACGUCAAUGCGUGCUAUUGAAAGCUCGUUGCAUCUAGGGUCCAACACGACUCUGUCAUUAUCUUUGGGACCCGUCUGAUUACCGACGAAUGGUCCAACAGCAAGCCAGGCUUGAGGGUUGAUAAU
rnacentral:misc_RNA from 1 species